GACGAACGCUGGCGGCGUGCUUAACACAUGCAAGUCGUACGGUAAGGCCCUUUCGGGGGUACACGAGUGGCGAACGGGUGAGUAACACGUGAGUAACCUGCCCACAACUUUGGGAUAACGCUAGGGAACUGGUGCUAAUACUGGAUAUGUGCUCCUGCUGCAUGGUGGGGGUUGGAAAGCUCCGGCGGUUGUGGAUGGACUCGCGGCCUAUCAGCUUGUUGGUGGGGUAGUGGCCUACCAAGGCGGCGACGGGUAGCCGGCCUGAGAGGGUGACCGGCCACAUAGGGACUGAGAGACGGCCCAGACUCCGACGGGAGGCAGAAGGGGGGAAGAUUGAACAAGGGGCGCAAGCCUGAUGCAGCAACGCCGCGGGCGGGAGGACGGCCUUCGGGUGGUAAAACGCUUUCAGCAGGGACGAAGCUUUUUGUGACGGUACCUGCAGAAGAAGCACCGGCUAACUACGUG
rnacentral:rRNA from 1 species